AUUUAAGCUGCCCCUUUAGAUUUCAUGUGAUCUCAAAAGAUAAGGAGGAUUGGGCCUGGCUAGUACUUAGAUGGACUAUCUAGGAAUACAAGGUGCUUUAAAUU
rnacentral:rRNA from 1 species